AUAUAUAUAUCAGUAUUAUCAUGACUUUAAUUAUUCCAAUAACCCAAAGCCAGUAGUAUUUGUUGUGUGUGUGUGUGUGUGUGUGUGUGUGUGUGUGUGUGUGUGUGUGU